GUACUUGGUACUGUUAAGUAUAUUGCAGAGGGUAUGGUCUGGCAUUACCCUGCGUGCAAGUGCAGCAAGAAGGUAGAUUGUCAAUUAUGUUUUGCAAUGACUAUAAAUACAAGUUAGAGACAAUCUUUAUCUCAUGUUAAACUGUAUUUGCCAAGGCCUGUCUUUACUCAUGGGCAAUUAUAUGUUGCACUAUCAAGAGUUAAAUCUAGAAAAGGUUUGAAGAUACUAAUCCUAGAUGACCAAGGAGUAGUUUCUAACACUACCCGCAACGUUGUCUAUCAAGAAGUCUUUGAAAAUAUUCGAUAUUAUAAAUAAAUGUCAAGCAGCUUAUUGGUCAUCUAACUUGAAGGAUAAUUUCGUUGCUAUAAGGUUAUGUUGUUCAAAUAUUGAAUUGGUAGCAAACUUCAACUUCAAGUUUGAAGUCAUUAUCACUGAACAUAGACAACAAGUUCUAUUAAGCGAUCAUGCUGUUGACAUUUUUGUGAUUUUUUAAUUUAUUUGUUUUUGCAACGCAUUCCGUAAAA